rnacentral:RNase_P_RNA from 1 species
GCGGAAGGCCGGAUGGCCGCGGGGUUCGCCCCGAGGAAAGUCCGGACUCCACAAGGCAACGGUGCCGGGUAACGCCCGGCCGGGGAAACCCGAGGGAAAGCGCCACAGAAAACAGACCGCCGCGUUUCGCGCGGUAAGGGUGAAACGGUGGGGUAAGAGCCCACCGCGGGGCUGGUAACAGGUCCGGCACGGCAAGCCCCACCGGGAGCAAUGCCGAAUAGGGAUCGCGCGCGGGGGCCGGUCCCGGACCUCGGUUCGGGAUACCGCCCGCAGGGACGUCUUGCCCCAGCGAUCCGGGUUGGCAGCUUGAGGUGUCGUGGCAACACGGCAUCCAGAGGAAUGGUCAUCCAGCCCCGGAUCACGAUCCGGGGUGGACAGAAUCCGGCUUACAGGCCUUCCGCGCCG